rnacentral:rRNA from 1 species
GACGAACCGAGCGAACGUUGUUCGGAAUCACUGGGCUUAAAGGGCGCGUAGGCGGGUGACUAAGUCUGUGGUGAAAUCCGGCAGCUUAACUGUCGAAUUGCCAUGGAUACUGAUCGACUCGAAGGCGGAGAGGGUAGUGGAAUUCCCGGUGUAGUGGUGAAAUGCGUAGAUAUCGGGAGGAACACCAGUGGCGAAGGCGGCUCACUGGACCGGAACUGACGCUGAGGCGCGAAAGCGUGGG